UACGUAGGGGGCAAGCGUUGUCCGGAUUUAUUGGGCGUAAAGAGCGUGUAGGCGGCCAGAUAGGUCCGUUGUGAAAACUCGAGGCUCAACCUCGAGACGCCGAUGGAAACCAUCUGGCUAGAGUCCGGGAGAGGAGAGUGGAAUUCCUGGUGUAGCGGUGAAAUGCGCAGAUAUCAGGAAGAACACCCGUGGCGAAAGCGGCUCUCUGGAACGGUACUGACGCUGAGACGCGAAAGCGUGGGGAGCGAACAGG
rnacentral:rRNA from 1 species